rnacentral:rRNA from 1 species
AUGUGGACAUACAUCAAAGCCCUCAUCAUCGUCGCUGUGCUCGCCCUGUUCCUUCUGCAUGUGCUGGGAUCCCUGCGCCGAAGGUCGAGCAACAAGGCCCUCCACGCUAUCGUGUUGGGGGUCUACACGCUCUCCUACACCCUGGUGAGCUACACCAUCGGUCUCAUGCAGAGAUCGGACAUGUACGUGAGGGAGUUCUCCGUGUGGGCCGUGUGCCUGCUCAUGCUCCUCGGCGGCACCGACAACCUCAUGGCGUACGGCCUCAACGACGUCGACAACUGGAAGAGCUUCCACGUGAGGCACCUCAUCCAGGGCGCGUUCGUGGUUUUCAUAGUCGCCGUCUAUGGGACGGCGUCCAGGGUGCAGGGGCCGCUCUGGGCCAUCUUGGCGGUCAAUGCCCUCCAGUCAUGCGUGCGGAUCAAGUCCAUGAAGAUGGCGAGCAAAUCACACCUGCUCUCCAAGAGCGUGAAGCCGAUCGUAGACCACAUGCAGAUGCAGCGUGAGGGCCGACUGCAUACAAACCCCGAUACCAUGGAGGGCUACCGGUAUGUUGUCGCCGGCGAGCAUCUCUGGAAGAACAAUGCCGGACAACCUUCGAACCAAUCAAAGGACGGCAAUGUUGACGGCAUCACCACAGUGGACCAGGUGUGGCAAUGCAAGGGGAGCCUGUUGAGCUCCAAGACGGGGCUGCGACUCAGGGACGUGUGCCUCUCCAUGGCCCUGUCAAAGAUGCUCAACCGAAGGUUCGCGGGGUAUGAGCUCGCGGAAGCUGAGCUUGAAGAAACCCGUGACUUUGUGUUCCGCGGCCUGCUCGCCUUCGGGGACGAGCCGUGCGAGCGGGCAUUCAGGGUCAUUGGGGUGGAGCUUGGUUUUGUCUAUGACUUGUACUAUACAAGAUACCCGUACCUCUACCACAAGGCCCGCUACUUUGGACUCUGCCUUCCCGUCGCCAUGGUCACCCUCUGCUCCUGGCUCACCUAUCAGCUAUUCAACAAGUUCAAGGGCGAUGUCUCUUCUCCGGACACCACGGUGUUCUUGAUGGCCGUGGUGACAUUCUUGGAGGCAUUCCAGUUGUACCUGCACAUGGCCUCGGGGUGGUUCAAGGUGGCGUUGAUCCGGAGCUACAUCGCGGGGCAAAGCUGGUGUCUCCCUCGGAUGAUCAUCGGGCUUCUUUUGAGGUUGAAGACGCUCCAGCCGUGGGAGGGCAAGCUGGGGCAGUACUCUCUCCUCCAACACUACGACGGCACACGUCGUGCCAGCACUUGUCUCUAUUUCAUGACAUUGUGCCUGGUUGACAAGGCCAAGAAGGGGCGCAAGAGAGGGAAGCUUGUCAAGCUAUCAAGACAAGUGAAGAAAGCAAUCGUUGAUUCGCUCCUGGAGAGCAAGGGCGACCUGACAAACGGGACAAGGUCGCUGCAGAAGGCCGGCGUCUACGGGCGGCUCUCGUGGGCGUGCAGCCCCGGCGACGGCAUGGUGACCCACACCAUACUGGUGUGGCACGUCGCCACAACCAUUUGCAAGCAACUGGAGCCAGCGACCCUGGGCAACGAUGACAAGCAGCGCUCCCAAGUGGCCUCCGAUCUGUCCGGGUACUGCGCAUACCUCGUUGCCUUCGCGCCGGACCUCCUGCCUGAUCAUAGCUUCGACGCCGAAUCGAUGCUCGACAAGUGCAUCAAGGAAGCAUGUAAGUUGGACCUGCCCAGAGGCGCCAAGAAGAUGAAGAGCAAGUGUGAGGAACUGAUGAAGAUAAGCGGCACCAAAGAAGAUAGCGGCGCGGAAACUCUCGUCCGCAUGGGCGGUCGACUGGCGAGGGAGCUGACGGAGGAAAUCCAGGAGCCGGCGCUGCGGUGGAAAGUGCUCGCUGAUUUCUGGGCGGAGAUGAUGCUGUACGUGGCGCCGUGUGAGGACGCGCGCGCCCGUGCUCACCUGGAGGCUCUGGCGAGAGGAGGGGAGUUCAUCACGCACCUCUGGGCGCUGCUCACUCACGCCGGCGUGCUCAAGAGAUGCCCUGCUGCUGGGCAAGACGCCGUCUGA